UUUUUUUUUUUUCUUUUCUCAUUUUUUCUUUUUAGGGCAGCAUCUACAGCAUAUGGAGAUUCCCAGGCUAGGGGGUUAAUCAGAGCUACAGCUGCUGGCCUACACCACAGCCACAGCAACACAGGAUCUGAGCCACAUCUGCAACCCACACCACAGCUCAUGGCAAAGCUGAAUCCUUAAUCCACUGAGCAAGGCCAGGAUCGAACCCGUGUCCUCAUGGAUACUAGUCUGAUUCAUUAACCACUGAGCCACAACAGGAACUCCCUCUUUUUUCUUUUUUUUUUUGGCCCACACCCUUGGCAUAUGGAAGUUCCUGGGCCAAGGAUCAAGUUCUAGCCACGGCUGCAAGCUCCGCAGCUGCAGUUACAUAGGUGCAGCUAUGGCAAUGCUAGAUCCUUAACCCAUUGGCCCACAGUGGGAACUCUGCAAAUAUUCCAAUUCUUAAGUUCAUCAGUUAUCCAAUUUGUGCCAUCUAUUUCUGUCUGGGAUCUUGACUGAUAGUUACUAUACUAAAAAAAAAAGGGAAUGUUUCCACCUAUUUGAAUUUCCUAGAAUAGUUAAAUUCAUAGAGACAGGAAGUAGAGUGGUGGUUACAGAGCAGCUAUAGUUGUUGUUUAAUGGUUACAGAGUUUCAGUUUGUGAAGAAUGAAAAAAUUCUGGAGGUCAUGGGUGGCGAUGGUUGCACAACAAUGUAAAUGCACUUAAUGCUGCUGAAUUGCACACUUUAAAAGGGUUAAAGUGGCAAAUUUCAUCUUACAGAUAUGUUACCACAAUAAAAAUAAAUGGGGGACAUGAAAGCUGAUUGCUUAUUAAUGCCUAAUAAAUUAGAACCAAAAUAAUAUCUUUUUUUUUUUCAUUUUUGGUAUUUGAGUGGACAGACUAUGUUGGAUCAGCCCUUGCAUUGACUGUGAACCUUUUAUUCUUGCCAAACAUUUAUAAAUUGGGAUGCUGUUGGAUUUAUUUGGGCAAACAGAUGUAUGCUGAUCACGGUCUGAAAAUAAAGAUAGUGCUGGUAUCCAGUACUGACAGGCAGAAGCUUCCUUUGGCCUUAUCCUUCGUUCAAAGCUCAGCUCAUCUCCACUUAUUUCGUGGAGCUUUCUGGAAUUGCUACAACCUACUCUGUUGCUGUUCUCCUCCCUGUCUCUGAACUCCAACUGUGCCUGCUCAGUGGAAGUCAGCCUCUUAUUUUAUUUCUGGUUCUAAUUCCAGACAAUUAUCAUGGAAACAUUCAGAGAUCCCCAAGGACAAAAGUCAUGGCCUUCCUGUCCUGUUGCCGGGACAUCUAAAUGGAUGCCGAAUGGUACCUCACACAUGCUUGGUGACUGAAUGCAAGCUUACGUACAUGGUAUUCAUGGCAUUACCCAAUUUACAUAAUGAUAAGCACCACGAAUGAGAAUGUGUUUUUUCUUGGCUCUGAUUUCUACUUGCCAGAAGACAAAUUUUCUCAAACUUAUACACAGAACAGACUUUUGACAGCAGUUUGGCAUCCUGAAGAAAAUGAUUGUCUUGGGUGCUUCAUUCCACCCUUGGCUUUCCUUUGGCUUUCCAGUCUCUGAGCCAGAAUUUUGUAGAAACAGUGAAAAUCUUCAAGGAACAGUGAACUCCACUCCAGGAAUCUCAGAGGUGGGCAGCAUCAACAGAGAUUCCGGUGCAGCAAAGAAGAGCCAUCUGCUCUGCUGGAAUUGUUCUCAGACUGUUGUUGCAUCCUCCAAAUUUUUCUUUUCCUCUGUUUUGAGUGGUAAACUACAUGGCCUAUUUAUAUCAUGAUGAUUGUGUUAAGUGUGGAUUUUUCAGUACAAGGGAAUUUCAGUACAGGGUUUAUUCGCACUAUAACAAAUGUUAGUAAACAUUGGUUCCAUUCAUGGGCUCUGCUCACAUAAUCAGAUAUUUUAGAGACUUGGCCGGGGAGUCCCAGCACCCCGGGGCUUACUCUGCUCCUGUUCCCUGAUGAAAACUUGGAAGUCCUCAAACUGAGAUGUGAAGAUGAAUUUGAACAGUAUUGUGUUUAUGUUUUAGCUCCUUCAUGUUUUCAUUCAGGUGGUUUUUUUUUGUUUGUUUGUUUUCAUUUUUGUUUUUUUGGCUGCCCUAUGACAUGUUGAAGUUCCCUGGCUGGUGAUUAAACCUGUGCCAUAUCCGUGACCUGAGCCACAGGAGUGAAAAUGUUAGAUCUUUAACCCACUGCACCAUCAGGGAACAACUUGAAAAUCUGUUUUUUUUUCUUUUUAUUGGUUUGCAUAAACUCUUUCUAUAUUAAAGAUAAUAACCUACCAUGUGUCAAAUUUACCAUAUUUCAUAUGUUUGUUGUUAGUCUCAAUUUUAUUUAAGGCAUGAAUAUAAACUUUUCACUUUUACGUAGUCAUUAUAUAUUAAUACUUGUUCUGGUUGGGUAUUUUGUUUAACUGAAUUGUCUUUUUCUGGAUUAGUACCAUGUUGAAUACUAGUGAAUUAAGUGAUCAUUUUCACGCAUUGGUUUUUUUUUCAUGAGAUACAAUUGAGGUAACUUUUCAGGAAAAGGAACUUGGCAAAAAUUUGAAGAGCUUGAAGCCUGUUCUUAUUCUUUAACUCUAUAUUUCCCUAUCAAGGUAUUUAUGUUAAGAAAAUCGUAAGAAAUGUAAAAUAUUUAUGCAUUAAAAUGUUUAUUAGUGUAUCGGUAUUAUUUAUAACGGUGAAAAAUUGGAUCCAAUCUCUAGAUAUUAGGACUUUUAAUUUAUUAUGUAGCCAUUAAAAUUUUAAUUGCAAAGACAAUUUUAAGACCCAAGAAAUGCUUAUGAUAUAAUCAGUGAUGUGCUAGUAAAUGAUGCUUACAGGCUAUCUGAAAAAAUAAAAACAAAAGAGCCCUGCUUUAUAACAUCUGCCAAUUUCUAUGGUGUAAAUUUUCUUGUUGUGGCUGAUUUCAAGCUACCAGUGUGAGGUCACUGAAUUCAGAGUUGGAAAAAGAUGCACUUUGGUUCUUGCAAACAUGUGCAAGUCAACUUCUGAUAUCAUGUUACAUCACAAAAACAGAAUGUAUAGGGUGUGUACAUGUGAUUGCAACAAUGUAAGUAAUCUACUUUAAAAAGAAUCUGGAAGAAGAUAGGUUACAUUUGGAUGUAGAAUUAUGAGGAAUCCUUUCUGCCCUGUAUUUCGUUAUUCUCUAUACUUCACAGAAUAUUGAUAGAGAGCCUAAAGAAUUAUUGUAAUCAGGAAAAAAAACCAAAAAACAAAUUGGUGCUGUCCUGUUCCCUCUUCCCCCACCCACUCCUCAUCACAGAGCCUGGCUUCUUUUGCCACUGCAUUGAGUCCAGUGACAGCACCAUGCUGGGGUCUUUCAGGGCUCAAUCUUGAAGUAUUGCUUGAUCUCUUUUUUUUUUCUUUGCUUUUUAGGGCUGCACACGUGGCAUAUUGAAGUUCCUGGGCUAGGGGUUGAAUCAGAGCUACAGCUGCUGGCC
rnacentral:lncRNA from 1 species